CUGCAUGUUCAACCAAGAGCUGUGGCUGAGCCGUUAGCCUCUGCGUCUCCAACAACAUGCAAGAAAAAUGCGGAGGGACUUUGACUUUGCAGUUUUUGGUUAGCUGCAGAAGUCACUCUGCUCUCCUACAUAG
rnacentral:snoRNA from 1 species